ACAGCAGCAGGACAACCCAGGCUUUGUCCUCGCCCCAGAGAGCAGACUGACUGUCCACAUACCAGAGACAGAGAGAGGAAGAGUCGGAGAGGAGGGAGAGAGCGAGAAAGAGUGGGAGAGAAUUAUAUAGUAACAGGGAGAUAAUUGGGGGAGAGAACGCUGAGGAUCUAAAUAUCAGUUGAUUUAUGCUCUCCAACUGUUUUUAAUCUGUACCUUCCCGCACAAGUCCCUUGGAAUGUCCAGACACUGCCACGACCAAGGAUUCCACGGGUCACCAUGGAGACCAAGGAUUCCUGAGGUCUAGGGCAGGGCAGUCCCAGCCCCCUGAAACAUGAAGAAAAAGGGGCCAGAGAGAAAACAGCACAGAGGAGAGAAUCUGUUCCAACAUGCAGAGCGAGAGAAAAACAGGGAGAAAGAAAGAAUUCCACUAAUCGCAAUCCAAAACCUCACCCCGCCCCUCCCUUACCCUGCAGUUACUCCUCCCUCUCCCUCCCAAAACCCACCCUAACCCUUCCCUAUUUCUCCCCCAAAAAAUCUACGUUCCUCCCUCAAGUCAUCCCAGCCAAACCCAACCCUACUCCUCCCUGUCCAUCUCACCCUUUCUCUCUCACCUCUCUCUCCCUCACAUGUCGACACAAACACACAAUUCUCCUCAAACACGAUGGCUGAGCUUUGGCUCCUGUCCUCCCCAGAGACGCAUCAUGUUGACGGGUUUAUUCCCCUGGCGGGCCAGUGAUUCUGAGCGCAACACCGUAGUGCUGCGUGUCACAGUCCAAACCUCGAUCCACAAGUCUGCCAGAUGCAGCACAGCAACCUUUUUAUUUACCUAACUUAUUCACAGGAACUGACUGUACAGGGACACGACUAUUACUCUCUGAGAAAUACAGCGAAGUAGAAAACCCCACCCUGUUGUCUUAUCCAAACGAGAUAACAUGCCGCACAUUACUGAGGAAAACAGUUGACCAGAAGAAAAUGUUGGAAAUGAAAACGUUGUGGUGUGUGUUCUCCCCAAAAACCACAUACUAUGUUAAAGUUUGCCAAAUUGUUCUGUUAAGGAAGUUUGUUUUUAUUGUUGUGCGUAUGGUGUGUGAUCUGAGGUAACAUCUAGAAUGGUGUGUUGGUAUGUACUGUCUAUGCAGGUGUUAUUGUGGGGUAUAAUAUGUCCGUGUGAUGUAUCUGUAUGCUGUAUGUUUUUAGUUACAUUUGCUGUGCUUGUAAAAUUGAAUAAUUGAACCUCACAUGACAGAUUUAUUGAAUGUUGU